rnacentral:rRNA from 1 species
AGCGAACGCUGGCGGCAGGCUUAACACAUGCAAGUCGAGCGGGCAUCUUCGGGUGUCAGCGGCGGACGGGUGAGUAACGCGUGGGAACGUGCCUUCUGGUUCGGAAUAACUCAGGGAAACUUGAGCUAAUACCGGAUACGCCCUUUUGGGGAAAGGUUUACUGCCGGAAGAUCGGCCCGCGUCUGAUUAGCUAGUUGGUGGGGUAACGGCCUACCAAGGCGACGAUCAGUAGCUGGUCUGAGAGGAUGAUCAGCCACACUGGGACUGAGACACGGCCCAGACUCCUACGGGAGGCAGCAGUGGGGAAUGUUGGACAAUGGGGGCAACCCUGAUCCAGCCAUGCCGCUUGAGUGAUGGAGGCCUUAGGGUUGUAAAGCUCUUUUAUCCGGGACGAUAAUGACGGUACCGGAGGAAUAAGCCCCGGCUAACUUCGUGCCAGCCGCCGCAGUAA